rnacentral:rRNA from 1 species
UACACACCGCCCGUCACACCAUGGGAGUUGGUUUCGACCCGAAGGCGCUACGCUAACCCGCAAGGGAGGCAGGCGACCACGGUGGAUCAGCGACUGGGGUG